GAACAUCCAUGAGCUGAUCCUGCACCCUGAACCCCCUCCCUCAUCCUGUCUUUAAAAACCUUUCCCCGAAAGCCACUGGAGAAGUCAGGCCUUCUGAGCACUAGCUGCCUGGACUCCUUACAAUCAAUGCUCCACUUCCCUUCAGCACCAUCAACAGAUGUCAGGUGCCACUGGCUUUACUGCACACAGCCGCCAUCCUGAUAGGUGUGAGAUGAUGUCCGACUGUGGUUUUGACUUGCAUUUCCCUGAUGAUUAGUUACGUUGAGCAUCUUUUCACAUACCUGUGGGCCAUUGUGCAGCAUUAUUGGCAAUGGCAAAGAUGUGGAAGCAGCCUAUAUGUCCACUGAUGAAUGAAUGAAGAAGAUGUGGUAUGCAGACCCAAAGGAACGUUACUCAGCUUUUUAAAAAAGGAAAGCCUCCUAUAUCCAACAACAUGCAAGAACUUGGAGGACACUAUGCUCAGUGAAAUAAGCUAAUUACAGAAGACAAAUAUUGUAAGAUUCUAUUUAUAUGAAGAAUCUAAAAAUAGACAAACUGAAGCAGAGUAGAAUGGUGGUUGCCAGCAGCUGGGGUAAGGGAGAAAGAAAGAGUUCCAAGUCAAUGAACAGAGAGUUUCGGUCAGGCAAGAUGAAUACCUUCUAUAGAUCUGCUGUACAACCACGUGCGCGUAGAUGACAAUACUGUAUAUUCAAAAUUGUGUUAAGAGAGCAGAUCGCAUAUAAAGUGUUCUUACCACAGUUUAAAAGGGGGAGAUCAAAGUAUCUAAAUAAAUAUUUCUCGUAAAAAGAUAGGAAAAUGGCCAAUAAGCAGGUGAAAAAUGCUCUCAUUAGCCAUUAAGGAAAUGCAAAUCAAAACACAAUGAGCUACCACUUCACACCCACCAGGAUGGCUAUACUCAAAAAAGGCAUAUAAUACUAAGUACUGGCAAUGAUGUGGAGAAACUAGAACUCUUGUACGUGGUGGGGACCACUGUGAAGUGGCUCAGCCACUCUGUAAAACAGUCUGGUUGUUCUUCAAAGGAUUGGCCACAGAGUUACAAUAUAACUCAGCAAUUCCAAUCUGGGAAAAUAUAUACUCAAGAAAAAUGAAAAGAGAAAUGAAAACAUAUAUCCAUGUAAGAAUCUGUACAUGAAUGUUUGGAGAAACAUUAUUCAUAAUAACUAAGAAGUAGAAACAAUCCAGAUGUCUGUCAACUGAUGAAUGAAUAAAUUGUGAUAGAGUCAUAAAAGAGAAUAUCAUUCAGUAAAAAGUAAUGAAGUACUGAUAAUACUAUGAGACAGCUAAACCUUGAAAACGUUAUACUCAGUGAAAGAAGGCAUUCAAAAGACUGCCUAUUAUAUGAUUCCAUUUAUAUGAGAUGUCCAGAAUAGACAAAUCUACAGAGAUAAAAGUAAAUUAGUGGUUGCUUAGGGCAAGGAGAGUAGGGAGGGAUGGGGAGAUAACUGAUAAUGUGUAUAGGAUUUCUUUUUGAAGUGAUGAAAAUGUUCCAAAGUUGAUUAUGCUGAUGAUUGCCCAACUCUACGGAUAUACUAAAAAUCAUUGAAUUGUACAAUUUAAAUGGGUGAAUUGUAUGAUAUAUGAAUUGUAUCUCAAUAAAGCUAUUUUUAAAAAAUUCAAUGGAAUGGAGGUGCUUGUUUAAAAAUCAGGAUUUCCA